rnacentral:tRNA from 1 species
UAUUUUAAAGUGAAAACCACCUUCAUAACAUCUUCAGUAUUAUACUUUCAAAUAAGCUAUUAAAAU